rnacentral:ncRNA from 1 species
AUAAUAUUUAAAGCGCCAGGACUUAAAGAUAGGUUUAUCUUUAAGUUGACGAGGACAGGGUUUAUCGAAGUAUCGGCGGGUGCCCUGCGGUGAAACUACCACCGAUAAAGAUUCCUACAAAACCUGUAAGCAAUUACAGGAACAAAGGGAAUCGGGUAGUUAAA